rnacentral:misc_RNA from 1 species
UGGCAAGCGGGUUUUUGGAUUCCUCAAUAAAUAGCCGUCAUCGCGGCGAUCUAAUCUAAAAUCGAAACCCUAAUCCGACAAUUGAAUAGUUCAGAGCCAUCCAACAAUAAGAAGAAGACGAGGAGAGAUUUUGAGCUCGCGGGAGGGAGAGAGUAAGAGAAUAGAAGGGAAAAAAAAUGGGAAGGAAGAAGAAGAGAGUAUCGUCAAAGGUGUGGUGCUAUUACUGCGAUAGGGAAUUCGAUGACGAGAAGAUUCUAGUGCAGCAUCAAAAGGCCAAGCACUUCAAGUGCCAUGUCUGCCACAAGAAGCUCUCCACUGCUGGUGGCAUGGCAAUCCAUAUCCUCCAGGUCCACAAAGAGAGCGUCACCAAGGUUCCCAAUGCAAAAAAUGGAAGAGAAUCAACUGAUAUUGAAAUAUAUGGAAUGCAAGGGAUCCCACCUGAUAUCUUGGCUGCACACUAUGGAGAAGAAGAAGAAGAGGCUCCAUCAAAAGUUGCCAAAGUGGAUGUUCCAUCUGCUCUGCUUGUUGGUGGUGUAGUGCCAGCGUCAUUGGGUGUUGGAUAUGCCGCGCAAACUUUAGGUGCAAUGCAGCCAAUGUUUCCAGAGGUCCCAGAGACCCAGGGAUUGCUCUAGGAUGGAAGGGUUAAAACUCAGUUAAUUUUGGGGAAGGCUUUGACCAGAGGGACAGGUAUGCAAUGGUUCAUGGUAGAUUAUUUAUGCAACAGCAUGAUAUUAUUAGAUUUGCUUGUUUGUUCUUCCAGAAAUUCUUGCACCAUAGCUUCAAUUAUUGGUGCCUGAAUUUUCCACCAUAAUUUUCUUGACUAUUUUCUGCUCUGAGUCGUCUAUAAUGUCUAUUGUGGAUUCUGAUUUCCAAUCUUAAUUUACAAUGGACUGGUCACCAUUUUCAAAACCAUGUACAACUAGCCUUCAUCAGAUUGAAUGAGGGCGCCAACACUAAGUUUUGAGGAACUAAGAUUAUGCAAAACCCACAUUUGUUUGUCUGUUCAUGGCAGCAUUUUCUAGGAAUAGUAUGGAAAGCUCAUCUCAUGCGGUCUUUUUGUUUGUAAAGGGAGUAUGUGAUUUAGCUUCUCAUCGGAAGUUUUUAUUCUUAAUUUUGGCAAUAGUUACAAUUCUGCUGUGCCGGUUCCCCCUGCUGGCUGGCCAGUGCCUCCUAGGCCACAGCCGUGGUUCUCACAACCUCCUGCAGUUUCAAUUCCAGCUCCUGCUCCAGUUGGAUAUGGGCUGCAGGUAUUGUUCCCAGUGCAUAAUGCGAGGCCUCCUCUGCCAUUAUCUACAGCCUCUGCACGCCAACCUUCACAAGUUCCUCCAGGACUGACCUCAUCCACACCACCUAUUCCCGUAUCUCAACCAUUAUUUCCUGUUGUUAACAAUAAUUUGCCUCAGAGUUCACCAUUUUCUACUCCUUUACCUUCAACAAAUAUUCCAUCAAGCUCUUCUGCAGAUGUUCAAGGUUCUGUGGAUGUGCAUUCAGGAGCUAACAGUUCUCUGACAACUAGCUACCAUGCAAGUAUUCCAGGUGGGACAUUAGCCAAUUCACAUUCGUAUGCCUCUGGUCCAAAUACUGGUGGUCCUUCUAUUGGACCACCCCCUGUAAUCGCUAACAAAGCUCCUGUGACCCAGCCGGCUGUUAAUGAGGUCUAUUUAAUUUGGGAUGACGAGGCAAUGUCCAUGGAGGAAAGAAGAAUGUCAUUAUCAAAGUAUCAGGUGCAUGAUGAAACUAGCCAGGUAAGUUAUGGCUACCUUGGUAAUAUUUGGAGUUGGUUUGCACAUCUAACCUGUGGUAGGCUUUAUGCUUGUGCUUUCAGAUACAGUUGUUUGCACAUUGUCACCUAUUUAGAGAGGUAUUUACUGUAUGAAUUUCCAAUUUAUAUUCUGUUUAUCAAAGAUGUGUGCCUCUGAGUCAGUGUCUUCUGAAUUUCAAUGUCAUUGAUUGAGGACAUGCUAUUUUCUUUUUUACUGCAAUUCUCUCGAUUGCAUACCAUUACCAUUGCCACCUUAUGUGUGGCUGUCUGAAGAUUCAAGGGGGUGUGUAACUGUGUAGUUAUAUUUAUGCUGGUAGUGAGUAAUUUCUAUUUUGACAAGCUUGCUGGAGUCAACUCGAGGAAUCUCGAUCCUAGCGUCAUUCUCAGUUAAGGAGUGCAUGUAUUUACUGAUUUAAAAUAUUAUGUAUUAUUUACUCGCCCUAUGCUUUGUCUCCAAACAAAUUGUCGGGGUUUGGGUGGAACAAGAUGAUACCCAACAGAUUUUUGCUCAUUGUAGCAUCAAUACAAUUUAUUUUUAUCGUCGAACAGUGAAUUCAGACUUGGCCCAGGUCAGCUUCUUCUGCAAAGUUUGGUAUCUUUUGCAUAGGACCAAGCUUUCAAAUAUCUGGUUUGUCAACUGAUUUAUGUUCGCAGUUCAUACAUUGAACCUUUCUUUUGAUGCAUUUUUCAGAUGAGUUCAAUUGAUGCAGCCAUUGAUAGAAGGAUACUGGAAAGCAGGCUUGCUGGUCGAAUGGCAUUUUAGAUCAUCUAGUGACCAUGGUAUCAUCGCUGGAUAUAUGCAGAAUUCACAUGAACUACAAGGUGGUCCCGUGAUAAUUAACAUUGCUUGGAUUCUGGAGAGAACCAAUUAUGUAUAUUCUUUAGAAAGUGAGGUAGAUGAGAGCCAUUCUUUAGUAUGUAACAAACAUCCGAUUCU